rnacentral:lncRNA from 1 species
CUCACCUGGCAGAUUUGGCACCUGGGGCCGGACUGAGCCCCUCCGGGUGCGCCCUCCUUCCUCCUCCAUGAGCCCCGCAGAGCCGCCUCAGGAAACCGGGCAGUGCAAAAGGAGCCGAGGCUCAGCAAGAGCCCCCACCUUUGCCGCGGGGGCAGGCAGCCGGGCAGGGGACAGCGCCCCACCGCCGCCAGGGCCAGCACUGCCGCAGGGCCGCUCUCACCCGGGGCGCUGGGCAACAGCGGACACCAAUCGGCAGCCCACUUGCCCCGAGGAAUCCGGGCCUUUCCAGGUCGGACGGGGCUAUUGAAUGUGCCUGCCCCGCCCCCCCGCGCGCGCCCCCGCGGCGGGAGCAGCUGCGCGCUUCCCCACGCCGGCGGGCACACACGUGCGCUGCUCCUGCUCCUGCUCCGCGCAGAAGCGGCCUCACCCGCGAGCUCCACGGACUCCAGCCCUCGUCUCUACGCGAGCUGCUCUAAGCCGUGGGGCUCUGCCUGGCAUAACCCACGGCCACGGGGCAUGACUUUCCGAAGCGGGGCGGGAACUCCAGGUGCUUUUCUUGGCACCCGCUUUGAGAUUACACAUUUAAGGUCUUUCCCAGUUCGCAGCAAGCCAGCCCAACACUCCAGUUGGGGUUGGGUUUUGUUUGUUUGUUUGUUUGUUUGUUUGUUUGUUUUGGCGGGGGGGCGCGUUUUUUCUUUUUUGAUGGUCUCUUGUCCAGGUCAGUGUUUGUGAUGCUCAGCCGUGCCCAGCUGCUUCACUGCCGCGUUUAUGGUGUCUCAUCUUUUCCUUUAACUUCCUGUUUUUUUCCUCCAGCCCUGCCAGCAGCAUUCACUGCCGCACUGCAGUAGAGCAGUAAAUACCUUUAACAGCUGCCUGCCAACCAAGGAGUGAAAUACUGUCUUUGUUCUGACUUUUUCUGCCCCGAGAGCUCAUAAAGCAGUCCGCAAGAAAUAGAUUUCUUGGAGGAAAACAUUAUUAGAAAAUAAACAAAUCUUUGGGCUCCGAGUGGGGGAGGGG